AGCAUGCUGUCCUCCCGUGUAAAGUGGGUAUGAUGCUCCUGUUUGCUGAAAAGGUCAUAAAUUAAACAAGGGGCAAAGGAGUGUAAGAGUGGAAAGUAAGCACCCAUGUGCGCUUCCUUCCUCAAGAAGGUCACCAUACAUAAAUUAUACAGAAUGCACACAAAUGUCCCAUAAAGUCUGGGAACAGUUUGCCUCCCUGCUGAAAAACAACAUGUGAGAAGAAACUGCUCUCUUUCUACUUCAGCUGUUGGAGGAUUUUCUGCUUAGAAUUUUGAUCAUGAGAAGGGCUGAGGACAAAAGCCAACUCCAGACAAGAUGGAGCAAAAGGAAGGAAAGAAUGUGAUAGCAUCAUUCCGAUCGGAAUUAAUCAACUCUGGACCGCCUACCUCUGGACUUCUUGAACCCCCAUUUAUUUCCAUAUGAUCAAAGAACGUGACCCUCUACAGUCCCUGCAAGUGAAUGAUCAUGGCUCAACUAAAUCACUCGUGGCCGUUCUCUGCUUCUCCAGUGAAUGUGUUAUGCAUGGGUUUUAUGUGUCAAGAUCUGGCCUGGCUUAGCUGUGUGUCUGUGGCUCAAGGUCUCUCAAGAAGCUGCCAGUCAAUCUGUUGGCUGGGACCAUGGUCUCAUCUGAAGACUCAUCUCAGUGGGGACUGGGGAGGACAUCCACUUCCAAUCUUACUCACAUGGUUUUGGCACCACUUGGACCUUUCCGCAGGGCUGCCUCAUGACAUGGCAGCUGACUUCCUCCAGAGUGAGCAAUCCAGGAGAGAUCAAGAGAGAUAGCUCAAAAUGGAGACCACAGUCUUUUUGACCUACUCUCAGAAGUAACAUACCAUCACUUCUGUUGUAUUCUGUUCAUUAGAAACAAAUCAAUAAGCCUUUCUCACAUGGUAAGCGGAGAUGAUUAUGCACAGGUGGAAUACUAGAAGAUGCGGAUCAUUGGUGUACGUCUCAGAGGCUGCCUACUACAUACAGGAAGUGGAAGAAGGAGGACUUUCAAUAUGGUAUCCCCAGUGCUUGCACAUAGGAGGUCCUCAUUAAGGGUUCAAAAUUAAAUUUACAAAAUAAGGUGUUGAUUUAUAUUCUAUCUUUCUGAGGGUAGUUUGGUUGGGGGAAAAUGAAUAACAGUUUCUUC
rnacentral:lncRNA from 1 species